rnacentral:ncRNA from 1 species
CCGCUGGGGGCGCCGUAACGGCUGAGAUUGCGAAAGCUUGUCCCUUUUUCACCUGAUCCAGGUUAUGCUGGCGUAGGGAAGUGAC